rnacentral:rRNA from 1 species
CGGCAUGCCUUACACAUGCAAGUCGAACGGCAGCACGGGAGCAAUCCUGGUGGCGAGUGGCGAACGGGUGAGUAAUAUAUCGGAACGUGCCCAGUCGUGGGGAUAACGUAGCGAAAGCUACGCUAAUACCGCAUACGAUCUAUGGAUGAAAGCGGGGGAUCGCAAGACCUCGCGCGAUUGGAGCGGCCGAUAUCAGAUUAGGUAGUUGGUGAGGUAAAGGCUCACCAAGCCGACGAUCUGUAGCUGGUCUGAGAGGACGACCAGCCACACUGGGACUGAGACACGGCCCAGACUCCUACGGGAGGCAGCAGUGGGGAAUUUUGGACAAUGGGCGCAAGCCUGAUCCAGCAAUGCCGCGUGCAGGAUGAAGGCCUUCGGGUUGUAAACUGCUUUGUACGGAACGAAACGGUGAGCUCUAAUACAGUUUGCUAAUGACGGUACCGUAAGAAUAAGCACCGGCUAACUACGUG